rnacentral:rRNA from 1 species
AUUGAACGCUGGCGGCAGGCUUAACACAUGCAAGUCGAACGAGUGGCGGACGGGUGAGUAAUGCUUGGGAAUCUAGCUUAUGGAGGGGGAUCACUACGGGAAACUGUAGCUAAUACCGCGUACCAUAGGUUGAGCCCAAGUGGGAUUAGGUUGUUGGUGGGGUAAAGGCUUCCCACGCCGACGAGCUCUAGCUGGUCUGCGAGGAUGACCAGCCUCACUGGGACCGAGACACGGCCCAGACUCCUACGGGAGGCAGCAGUGGGGAAUAUUGCGCAAUGGGGGCAACCUGACGCAGCCAGGCCGCGUGAAUGAAGAAGGCCUUCGGGUUGUAAAGUUCUUUCGGUAGCGAGGCGUUAACUACAGAAGAAGCACCGGCUAACUCCGUGCCAGCAGCCGCGGUAAUAC